UUUUAUUAUGUCUCCCCCACCUCGGGGGGAGACAUAUUGUUUUUGCCCUGUCCGUCCGUCCGUCCGUCAGUCCGUCCGUCAGUCCGUCCGUCCGUCAGUCCGUCCGUCCGUCCAUUCUUCGUUUCCGGACGAUAACUAGAGUUCCUUUUGACCUACAGCCCUCAAACUUCAUAGGAUGAUUGGUCUUAUAGAGCUGAUGAUCCCUAUUGUUUUUGGGGUCAGUAGGUCAAAGGUCAAGGUCACAGUGACCGUUGGUCAAUUUCUCGUUUCCGGAUGAUAACUAGAGUUCCUUUUGACCUACAGCCCUCAAACUUCAUAGGAUGAUUGGUCUUAUAGAGCUGAUGAUCCCUAUUGUUUUGGGGUCAGUAGUUCAAAGGUCAAGGUCACAGUGACCGUUGGUCAAUUUCUCGUUUCCGGAUGAUAACUACAGUUCCUUUUGACCUACAGCCCUCAAACUUCAUAGGAUGAUUGGUCUUAUAGAGCUGAUGAUCCCUAUUGUUUUUGGGGUCAGUAGGUCAAAGGUCAAGGUCACAGUGACCGUUGGUCAAUUUCUCGUUUCCGGAUGAUAACUAGAGUUCCUUUAAACCUACAGACCUCAAAAUUCAUAGGAUGAUUGGUCUUAUUGAGCAGAUGAUCCCUAUUGUUUUUGGGGUCAGUAGUUCAAAGGUCAAGGUCACAGUGACCGUUGGUCAAUUUCUCGUUUCCGGAUGAUAACUAGAGUUCCUUUUGACCUACAGCCCUCAAACUUCAUAGGAUGAUUGGUCUUAUAGAGCAGAUGAUCCCUAUUGUUUUUGGGGUCAGUAGGUCAAAGGUCAAGGUCACAGUGACCGUUGGUCAAUUUCUCGUUUCCGCAUGAUAACUAGAGUUCCUUUUGACCUACAGCCCUCAAACUUCAUAGGAUGAUUGGUCUUAUAGAGCAGAUGAUCCCUAUUGUUUUUGGGGUCAGUAGGUCAAAGGUCAAGGUCACAGUGCAGUGGGGGAGACAUGCGCUUUUUUACAAAAGCAUCCUCUAGUUAUAUGUUAAGUCAAUUUAUA